AACGAACGCUGGCGGCAGGCUUAACACAUGCAAGUCGAGCGCCCCGCAAGGGGAGCGGCAGACGGGUGAGUAACGCGUGGGAAUCUACCCAACUCUACGGAAUAACUCAGGGAAACUUGUGCUAAUACCGUAUACGCCCUUCGGGGGAAAGAUUUAUCGGAGUUGGAUGAGCCCGCGUUGGAUUAGCUAGUUGGUGGGGU
rnacentral:rRNA from 1 species